CAUCCCUUGCCGCAAACCGCCGUUCAACCACGCCGUCGGCCGCAAGCCUUUCAUCGUCACGGGUUUCUAGGGCGGAAAAGGGCUUUAAGGGGGCGACGGCGGCAGUGGAUGGAGGUUUGCGAGCAGUGACGAGGCUGUUGUUGUUGUUGGGGUCGAGGAGGACGAGACGUUUGCAGAGGGAUGCGGGACAGAAGCCGGUGAAGGCUUCGUCGGGGUGGCGGGGCAGGAG
rnacentral:sRNA from 1 species